UGACAGGGAAGGGACACACCCUUGGU
rnacentral:piRNA from 1 species